GCUACCCAUCAUCAGAUGGGUACUACACUGGGGUUUGGUCUCAGAAGGUGCAAAACUUUUUGGUUACAAUUUGGCAAACUGUUUCUGUACAUGCUCAUUUUUAAGCCUAUAAUCUUAUAAAAUAUCUCAGUUCAAUGAUUUAAAAUUACAUUUUCCCCUAUUAUUGUGUAACAGCUAAAUAUCUUCUCUGCUUUCUUUUGGCACUGACAUUUCAUGAACACUGCGAAAAGCAACACAAAGCUGUCAGCAUUUGCACAAUUAAGGUAACAAAUUCACUUCAAUUGAAGCUUGUUUGCUCAAAAAUAGUUGUCAUGGGGAAAAAGGGGGGCUAUUACUUCUGUUUAAUAUGGUUCCAGGAGUAGUUACAAUGGAGGAAAAUUCUAAAAGUAUUCACAUUAAGAUUCACUGGCAGGUAGAAAUGCGUGGACAAGGAAGUAGCCCUAAAAACUAAGGAGCAACAGCAACACAUCUCUCUCUGCUAGGGGCUUGGAGGAAAUUCCUCCUUCUUCCUCCUUGGCUGGGGAAGCACAGUUCACUUCUACAGUUCCUUGGCCAAGGGCCAGCGUGAUUAAAACUCUGCACCCUACCUCAGCAUGCUUUAAUUGUUGCAUACACACUUUGCAAGAAGUGUUUGUACUUGUUUAGUUUUGUCGGUUUGAUUGGCUUAGCAGCCAUGCUAGAAGAGGGAAGCAAACACAAAUGAACAAAUUUAUGUUAACAAACUUAAGUGUUCAUACUGCAUUACACCUGUGGGCAGACACGUAGACAGCAGUUGGCAUGCCAUUUAAACAGAAAGAGUGCCAUUUAUCCAUUGUUAGGAGUAAAUGAAAUACAUUGCAUUAAAUUUGUUCCUUGGCAGUCGUCCCAGUCAAACUGCCAUGCUGGUUAGCUGUGGACAUCCCUGUAUUUACAUUAAAAUAGUUUGGAAAAUUUCGCCUUUAUUCAGCCCUGAGUAUGCAAACACAAUCUCUUCAGCAUGAGCUGCAAGAGAGGCAGCGAGGUGUGCCAUGCAUUGGGCUGAUGCCUGCCUGGCCCUGUGGUCCCAGCCAUGGCUCUGUGCUCGCAGCAAGGCAGCUUUCCAAGGACAGAAACCCCAUUCAGCUCCAGUGAGUGGAUGGGUUCCCCUGGUGCCAUUCAUCCAAAAAGACACAAACAACUUGUUUGCUUUUUCAGCUGGGGGGUAUUUGUUUGUUUACUUUGCCCAUGCUUAGUGUGACUCUGAAGUCUGUGCUGAAGAUGUCUAACAGCACCCUCCCCUUGCAGCCUGUUUAUUUGGCAUUGAUUUGUCACUUGUCUUGAAAAGAUAGACACUUUCUGCCUUCUUUUGGAUAAGCACCAAGAAAACAGGUAUGACCCAGUGCUGUCUGAUUAUUAGAGGCUCAAUACUGGGGGAUUCGUGAGGGAGCUGUUAGCAUUACAGGACUGCAGUGGUGCUUGAGAAGAGCUCUGUGCUAGGGCACUGACUGCAUCACAUUCUUAUAUCUCUCAAAAGAUUUCUUUGAUACUGUUACACUGCUUUUUCAGCAGUUCACCUUCAGUUCCCCAAAUGAAACCUUGGAGACUUGCAUUCUGUCCUCUUCUCCCACUGAGGAUGCAGAUGUAGACAAUACCCAAUGCUGAGGAGGAGGAGAAGGUCAGAGACCAUGGCUGAACCAACACAUCCCCUGACCGUCCUGAAGGGAGCCCUGAGGGCAGUCAGCCCUCUUGGCCACCGUUUUAAGUUGAGUGGUGUACAGUUCUAUGAGUCAUUUUGGUGUACAGAAAUCAGAUUCCAGCAUUGUAUUUUUUCAGAUAUUCCUGACAUUUACAAUUGUGAAAGAACUUGAAAAUGCAAGACAC